rnacentral:rRNA from 1 species
AUUGAACGCUGGCGGAAUGCUUUACACAUGCAAGUCGAACGGCAGCACGGGGGCAACCCUGGUGGCGAGUGGCGAACGGGUGAGUAAUACAUCGGAACGUGCCCAGUCGUGGGGGAUAACUACGCGAAAGCGUAGCUAAUACCGCAUACGAACUCAGGUUGAAAGCGGGGGAUCGCAAGACCUCGCGCGAUUGGAGCGGCCGAUGGCAGAUUAGGUAGUUGGUGGGGUAAAGGCUCACCAGGCCGACGAUCUGUAGCUGGUCUGAGAGGACGGCCAGCCGCACGGAGCAUGAGAGACGGCACAGACUCCUGCGGGUGGCAGCGGUGGGGGAUUUUGCAGAAUGGGCGCAAGCCUGGUCCAGCCAUUCCGCGUGAAGGAUGGAGGCCCGCUGGUUGUAAACUGCUUUUGUACGGAGCGAAAGGCGCCGGUUUAAUCCCUCGGCGUAAUGACGGUACCGUAAGAAUAAGCGCCGGCUAACUACGUGCCAGCAGCCGCCGUAAUAC